AGAUUCAGUCUAUAAUUGUCCACCUUGCUGACUGGUUCUGUGCCAGUUUAACGCGAGCCCUUGCCUGGACAGCACGGCCAGUGCAAGCAAAAAGAGAAAUCAAAUAAAACAAUAAAUAAAGAACAAAAAGAUGUACUCUUUAAUUCAUUAAACCAGAAAAAACCCUUAAAACCACACAGACAACACAACGAGUUAGAUACGCACAACAACAACAUUUCGUUGCAAAAUCGCAUGCUAGAAAAUUUGAAAAUCUAAAAGCUAAACCAAAA